CCCAACGGAAAGAGAAAAGUAAAUCAGCAAGAAGGAAAACUGAGAAGGAAACGAGGAGAGAUCAACAUGGAAAUGAAAACACGCAGCCGAAGGACACUACCCCCUUCGUUUAUGGCUACGUAAGAUUUAUGACUUCUACCACACAGGACUAGCUGUAAACAGCUACUUUAAAAAGAUGCAUUUCGUGUGGGAACUGGAAUAGAGAGGAUCACCAACGGGGUAGGAAGAAGGUAGGAGACAAAAAUGUAGGUGUCUGCAACUUUUUCUGCCUGACAUUGUUCUGGAUUUGCAACUACUGCUAAAUGGACAAAUGCAACCCACUUAAAAGAUUACUAAUGAACUAAAAACCCAAACGCUCCAGUAUUUUGUAUUUACAACUGGAAUUAUUUUCACGACUAAGCACAUACCGUGGGAAGUUAUUAUUAUUUCAGAGUUAUGGCAAGAGAAGGGUCUAUACCAACAUGAUUUUUGGGAUUACAACAUGCCGGUGCUUGUUAGAAGAUUGAGGAAGAGUAUUUUCGUCAUUUCCAUAGGAUGACAGAGAUGCGUCGCCUUCCUGAUACAUUGGAGUUGGCUGAGUCAUGGAUAUACUAUUUCAACGGUGGAAUAUGUGGACAGAUUUUGGGAUGCAAGGUUUUCUUUUUUUUCCCGCAGUGAACAUUGCAACCAACAUAUUACAUAAAGAGACUACAAACUCCAAUGAGAAAUUUCGUUCGGAUUUCCUAUUUUGUUAAUGAGAAGGAAAUCUUUUUAGGUGGAAAGUGUUUUGAAUGUUGGGUAUGGUUUUUUCAAGGGUAAAUGCUUGUGAUUGUGUGGUGAAUAUGCCAUUGAGUGUGAAUAUAUUUCAUUUAAAAUGUAUUGCGUGUUGUCCACUGUAUUCAUAUGACAGACCCCUUACACUGAAAUACAUAGCCUAUCUAUGUAUAUAUAUUGACAGUGUACGUUUUCCAUUUGGGACAAUAGGACAUUGCCACCUCUUUGCCUAUUUGCCUAUUUGAGUUAUCCUAUGAUUCUUCUGUCACACAUAUGCUGUAAGAAGAAUGCUGUUAGAUGGCUAAUCUACAUAACGCCACACACCCAUACACACCCAUACAUUCAUCAUCCAUAAUAUCCAUCAUAUAUUCCCCCAGAUACACUAUGGCAUUCAUUGCAUCAUCGAAAGAAGAGAGCACAAGGACACACACAAACAGGCACCACCAUUUUGACAAUGAUUUCGAUUAAUAUGUGGUGCUUUAUGCAUAUAGGCAAAGAGAUGUUUAUUUUGUAUUUAUAUAUUUUUUUUUAAAAGCUCAAUUGAAAAGCUCACAGGCCAUUCUCACGGGCUAGAUGUAUGCCAUAUUAGAGAAUAUUAUGAUACACACUCUUGGCCUAGGAAAUGUUUACCGAUUAUGUGAAUGUCAUAUGCAGACUAAAUCAUCACUGUUGAAUGUAUGCAAUGUGUGCAUACUCCAUUCCAAUAAAACAUAUUUACUUUCAAAUA